rnacentral:rRNA from 1 species
GUCUGUGGCCAUGCCACCCUGAACACUCCUAAUCUCGACUGAUCUUGGAAACUAAGCAGGCUCGGGCCUGGUUAGUACUUGGAUAGGAGAAAAUAAAUAAUAUGUGACUACUGCCCAGGUCAUAGCAGUCU